GACAGAGGGUGCAAACGUUGCUCGGAAUUACUGGGCGUAAAGCGCGUGUAGGCGGUUCCGCAAGUCAGGUGUGAAAGCCCAGGGCUCAACCCUGGAAGUGCACUUGAUACUACGGAGCUUGAGUACUGAAGAGGAGAGCGGAAUUCCCGGUGUAGAGGUGAAAUUCGUAGAUAUUCGCAAGAACACCAGUGGCGAAGGCGGCUCACUGGCCCGGUACUGACGCUGAGGUGCGAAAGCGUGGGGAGCAAACAGG
rnacentral:rRNA from 1 species